AUGACGUCACUAUAUAUAUCAGUUUGACCAUGCGCUAAAUAGCCUCGUUCGGGCGAAUAUUUACUUCCUCGAUCGAGUCAAACUCGGGGUCUGGAGAAAAUGCCAAAACGAAAGAAACCACGAAAGUUCUCAAGUAUAAUCCAAACUCAACAGAUUUAUGAGAGGAAAUUUUCACUAGUCAGUGACAUGGAGUAGCUAGGCCUGACCUGAAAACUACUAGCCCCGGGCGUUGGUCUAGACUCUAGUGGAAUUGUACACCCCUGUGUGAAUCGACCUUGGGUAAUUACUGAAGAUGACGUCACUAUAUAUAUCAGUUUGACCAUGCGCUAAAUAGCCUCGUUCGGGCGAAUAUUUACUUCCUCGAUCGAGUCAAACUCGGGGUCUGGAGAAAAUGCCAAAACGAAAGAAACCACGAAAGUUCUCAAGUAUAAUCCAAACUCAACAGAUAAUAGCUUAAAGUGCUGUGCCAUGACCGUCUCAUUUGACAUUCUUGUCCUUCCACCAUCGACUAGUUGGGGACUCUUCAUCGAUAAUCUUGGAUGCCGUGAUAGAAAAGACCUAAACCAUUUAUUGGACGGACCGUUUCCUGAUCCUGACAGUUGUCUGCCGCUUUUGGACACAAUACCUCUGACAAAUGAUUUUAUUACUUUCCGUGUUAAAGGCAUAGCUCUGGCCUGACAGUAUACUAUAUAUGCCACUAAUUGCUCCUCCUCUACUUUGCUUAACACCCGGACUGGAUGGCCUUUCAAUAAUCCUUUUUGAUGACGGGAUAUGGUCAUG